rnacentral:rRNA from 1 species
AUGGAGGCGACGGCUAUCAGCAUUGGCAAGUCCGUGUUGAGCGGGGCGCUCAACUAUGCCCAGUCAGCCGUGGCCGAGGAGGUGGCUCUGCAGCUCGGUGUCCAGCGUGACCACUCCUUCAUUUCAGAUGAGCUGGAGAUGAUGCAAGGUUUCCUGAUGGCUGCACAUGACGAGCGGGACGACAGCAUGGUGGUGAAGAUAUGGGUCAAGCAAGUCCGCGAUGUGUCCUAUGCUGUCGAGGACUGCCUCCUGGACUUCGCUGUCCGUCUUGAGAAGCAAUCUUGGUGGUGCCUCUCUCGCAAGGUGCUAGCCCGGCAUUAUGUGGCAAACCAGAUGAAGGAGCUCAGAGCCAAGGUGGAGGAGGUCAGCCAGAGGAACCAGCGUUACCAGAUCAUCAGGGGCUCUAGCUCCAAACAUACCUCCGCUAUAGGGCAGCCUACCAUCUCUGGUGCGACGAUGUCUGCUGCCGAUGAUGCAAGGCUGCGGAGGCAUAAAGCUAAAAAGGAUCUCGUCGAGUUGAUCAAUUGCAAGGAUGAUGCACUUCGAGUGAUAGCGCUGUGGGGCACAAGUAGUAGUGAUCUGGGGGAGAUAUCCAUCCUAAAAAGUGCCUAUGAAGAUCUCAUGAUGCACAAGAAUUUCGAUUGCUGUGCUUGGAUUACACUGAUAGGUACUUUCAAUCAGGCAGAUUUGAUUCAAAACAUUGUUUGCCAAAUCUAUGUUAAUUCUCUUCAAGACUCUAGAAAAGAAGGUAAAACAACUAUUGGGGCCCAAGUUCUUAAGAUGACGACAACGGCGAAGGAAGAUGGUUUGGAUCAUGAGUUCAAGAGAUAUUUGAAUGACAAGAGUUACCUAAUUGUACUCAACAACAUACACAGCAUUGAAGAGUGGGAUUGCUUUAAAACAUGUUUCCCAAACAACAAUAAAGGAAGCCGAAUAAUAAUAUCCACCGAGCAAGUUGCAGUUGCAAGCUUAUGCAUAGGAGCAGAGGAUGAAGCUCUAGUGCAUAAGUACUUAUUUGCUGAUCAACCUCUUUAUGCUUUCUACAGGAAGGUUUCUCAGGAGGGGAGAAAUUCAGCAGAAAAAGGGUCCAUCUCAUACAUAGUCCCUACUGACGUUGACAACUCUACACACAAGAAUAUCCUAACUCAGACAGAGACAAUGGCUACUCUAGAGGAAUCUCAUCUCAUUGGGAGAGGGACUCAAAAGGAGGAAAUCAUCAAACUAAUCUCAAAUAAAGAUCUCCAUCAUUUUCAUGUGUUCUCCUUGUGGGGAAUGGGUGGUAUUGGAAAAACAACACUAGUGACAGAUAUUUAUCAAACCCAAGAGAUUAGUAGCAUGUUUGAUAAGCGUGCUUGUGUCACAGUUAUGCGUCCUUUCAAUCCAGCAACGCUCAUUGGGAGCUUAGCUAUGCAGUUCGGAUGUAAAAAUGGGACAGAUUUAAGGAGAUGUUUAGAAGGAAGGAGAUAUUUGCUUGUUCUUGAUGCUCUGUGGUCCAUAGUAGAGUGGGAUGCUAUAAAACAAUGUUUACCAGAAACGGCAGCAAGCUGCAUAAUAGUCACCACAAGGGAAGAGAAUAUAGCGAAGCACUGCUCCAAGGAUGAAAGAAAUAUAUACAAGCUCAACCAUCUGGGUCCUGUUGAUGCAUGUACCCUCUUCACCCAAAAGGUAUUUAAGAAGACCGUAAAUUUGGAUGAGCAAUAUCCAGAGUUGGUUGAACAAGCAAAAAUGAUAUUGAAGAAGUGCAGAGGACUUCCCCUUGCACUAGUCACCAUAGGUGGCUUCUUGGCAAGCCAACCAAAAACUGCUUUUGAAUGGAGAAAAUUGAAUGAGCAUAUCAGUGCUGAGCUGGAGAUGAAUCCAGAACUUGAGAUCAUAAAAGCAGUCCUUAUGAAAAGCUAUGAUGGUUUACCCUAUUAUCUCAAGGCUUGUUUCUUGUAUCUGGCCAUCUUUCCUGAAGACCAGCAGAUUGCACGGAGACGCUUAGCGUGUCGGUGGCUUGCAGAAGGUUACUCAAGUGAGGUGCGUGACAAGUCUGUGGAGGAUGUAUUGGACGGUUACUUCAUGGAACUUAUAAGCAGGAGCAUGAUCCUGCCAUCUCAACGGUCAAUUUAUAGUAGGAAAGGAAUUGACUCCUGCCAUGUCCAUGAUCUCAUUCGUGAAAUUGCCAUCUCAAAGGCUAUGGAGGAAAAUCUUGUUUUCACAUUGGAGGAAGGGUGCAGCAUAAACAACCAAGGAACAGUGCGUCAUCUUGCUGUAAGCAGCAAUUGGAAGGGGGAUCAGUGUGAUUUUGAGAAUAUAGUAGACUUGUCGCAUGUACGAUCGUUGACUGUGUUUGGAAAUUGGAGGCCAUUUUACAUUUCUGAUAAGAUGAGGUUGCUACGAGUGCUGGAUUUAGAAGGCGAGUGGGAUCUAGUUGAUCAUCAUCUUGAGCACAUUGGGAAGCUUGUACAUCUUAGAUAUCUUUCUCUAAGAGGACAUGCUUCUGUAUUUCACCUGCCAAAUCCGUUGGGGAAUCUGAGGCAACUCCAGACACUAGAUAUUUCAGGUACGAGCAUAAUGAAGCUACCAAGGACCAUCACCAAGCUUGUGAAGAUGCGACGCAUUCUGGCUAGUCCAUGGGAGGAUUUAUAUGAAGAUGCAAUUGAGCAGUCACUAAUGACUUUGCCUUUAUGUUCAGUGUUUUGUUGUGUGGCAUGCUGUGCACCUAGGAUUCUGGCAGAGGAACUUGACCUUGACGAUGGUGGACAACUUAACAGGCGUGAUGUAUGCACUGCAUUCUGUUGCAGCAUAUUACCUUAUUAUGCGGCAGGAGGACGAAAUCCAGGUGGUGUGGAGAUGCCAAGAGGGAUUUGGAAACUGAAGGCCCUACACACACUGCAUACUGUAGACGUCUCAGCGGGAAAGGCUGUUCUAAAAGAUAUAAGAAAGCUCACCCGGUUGCGCAAGUUAGGAGUGACAGGCAUCAACAAGAGAAACGGUCAAGAGUUGUGUUCAGCAAUUGAUCGUCUCAGCAGCCUGGAGUCAUUGUCACUACACUCACAUGGAGAGACAGGUUUAUCAGGCUGCUUGGAUGGGCUAUUCUCACCUCCAGAAAACCUGCAGAGCCUCAAGUUGAUAGGCAACCUGGUUAAACUGCCGGAGUGGAUCCAGGGCCUCAAAAAUCUGGUGAAGCUGAAGCUAUGGAGGUCGAGGAUAUCGGAACAUGAUGCGGUCAUACAAGUCCUUGGGAACCUACCAAACCUGGCCACCCUCCGUCUAUUGCAUGCCUCGUUCGUUGGUGAAGAGGUCUGUUUCAGUUUCCGUGGGGAGGCAUUCCCGAGCCUGAAGGUGCUGCAGCUGUAUCUGAUAAAAAACCUCAAGUCGGUGGGGUUUGAAGAAGGAACAGCCCCUAAGCUUGAGUUGCUGCGGUAUUGUGGUGCGGAACAUCCCAGUGUUGGGUUGUUCUGUGGGUUGCGACAUCUCCCAUGUCUCAAGGAAUUUAUGCUGUAUAGCUUGCACUGGAGAAAGACCGAGUUUGUGGAGGACUUGCAAGGCCAGCUGGCAGAGAAUAAAAACAAGCCCGUUUUGAAGAGUAGCUAG